rnacentral:misc_RNA from 1 species
AAAUUUUCAAAAUAAAAUAAUAAAAUCAAGCAUUCCAGUUCCCGAUCUUAAUUUCUCUUUCUCUCUCUCUCACUCUAUCUCUCUCUCCCCACAAACCCAGAAACCAUUGAAGCAUAAGCAACCAAAGAUGCAGAUCUUCGUCAAGACACUCACUGGUAAGACCAUCACUCUCGAGGUCGAGAGCAGCGACACCAUCGACAACGAAACGUCAAAGCCAAGAUUCAGGACAAGGAAGGCAUUCCUCCUGAUCAGCAGAGAUUAAUUUUUGCUGGGAAACAGUUGGAAGAUGGUAGAACCCUUUCUGAUUACAACAUCCAGAAGGAGUCAACUCUUCACCUGGUUUUGAGGCUUAGAGGAGGAACUAUGAUUAAAGUGAAGACCCUCACUGGGAAAGAAAUUGAAAUUGACAUCGAGCCCG